CGGAGGUGCAAGCGUUAAUCGGAAUUACUGGGCGUAAAGCGCGCGUAGGUGGCUACUCAAGCCAGAUGUGAAAUCCCCGGGCUUAACCUGGGAACUGCAUUUGGAACUGAAUAGCUAGAGUACAGCAGAGGAGUGUGGAAUUUCAGGUGUAGCGGUGAAAUGCGUAGAGAUCUGAAGGAACAUCAGUGGCGAAGGCGACACUCUGGGGCUGAUACUGACACUGAGUGCGAAAGCGUGGUAGCAAACAGGAUU
rnacentral:rRNA from 1 species